rnacentral:lncRNA from 1 species
UCAUCUCCUCUGAAAUCAGAAUCAGAGAUGACAAAGAAUGAGAGAGGAAGAAAAGUAUGAGAAGGUGAAGAUCGAGAAGAGGAAACACCAUUAUCCUCUCUACAACUAAUUGUUGCUGGCAGGACUUGGAGCUGCAAUCUGAGAAUUCUGAAUUUAUUUAUUUAUCUUUUUUUUUGUCACUCAUGGGAAGAGAAAAUUCUGCCCUUAGAAUGAAUGUAAUGUGCAUUUUCAUCAGCUUGAGGAACACUCUGCAGGAGUUAGGCAGGUCUACUUGUGGAGAAGGCCUUUGGCUGGGACUGCUGUUCACAGGCCUGGCCCAUCUUUCUGUGCCCUUUGCCAGGCUCCUGCCUCUCUGGGAGCUCUGCUCUUUCCUCUGGGAAGGGAAACAGUCUGAAAAACGAUUCAUACAAAUGCACAAGUGAUUCAUCGAGUUAUGGGAGCCCUGUCAAUGUAGUUAUAUUAAAAAAGAACCAUUUAGGAAAACUCCUGGCCUGCUGGAGGGAGACUAAAUUUGUCUAACUAUUGAAAGUUAAUUUAGAUUUGUACCAAAACUCUUAGAAUUUUACAAAAAUUUUAAUGUAGCAAUUCCACUUUGAAGAAUUUAUUCCAAGGAAGCAAUCAUAAAUAUAAAAAACAUUUAACUACAUAAAGAUUCAUCAUAGCAACUGUUUAUAAGAGUGAAAAUUAAGAUCUGCCUGCAUGUCCAGCAAUAAGGGAUUGGAUAAAUUACAUUAGCUCCAUUCAAUGGAAUACAUGAUAUCCCCUAAAAAUAUUGUUGUGGGAAUAUACAUAUUGUUAUGGCAAAAUUUUUACAACAUGAUAUUGACUGAAAAAGUAGGUACCCAAACACAUAAUCCUAAUUUUUUUAAAGUAUAAAAAUAUCAAAAUGUUAAAAAUAUUUGUCCCUGAAUUAUAUGUGAUUAUUUUCU